rnacentral:rRNA from 1 species
UACGUAGGGGGCAAGCGUUGUCCGGAUUUAUUGGGCGUAAAGAGCGUGUAGGCGGCCACACAGGUCUGCUGUGAAAACUCGAGGCUCAACCUCGAGCUGUCGGUGGAAACCGUGUGGCUAGAGUCCGGAAGAGGAGAGUGGAAUUCCCGGUGUAGCGGUGAAAUGCGCAGAUAUCGGGAAGAACACCCGUGGCUAAGGCGGCUCUCUAGUACGUGACUGACGCUGAGACGCGAAAGCGUGGGGAGCGAACAGG